rnacentral:rRNA from 1 species
GUUGAUCCAUGGCUCAGAUUGAACGCUGGCGGCAGGCCUAACACAUGCAAGUCGAGCGGUAGAGAGAAGCUUGCUUCUCUUGAGAGCGGCGGACGGGUGAGUAAUGCCUAGGAAUCUGCCUGGUAGUGGGGGAUAACGUUCGGAAACGGACGCUAAUACCGCAUACGUCCUACGGGAGAAAGCAGGGGACCUUCGGGCCUUGCGCUAUCAGAUGAGCCUAGGUCGGAUUAGCUAGUUGGUGGGGUAAUGGCUCACCAAGGCGACGAUCCGUAACUGGUCUGAGAGGAUGAUCAGUCACACUGGAACUGAGACACGGUCCAGACUCCUACGGGAGGCAGCAGUGGGGAAUAUUGGACAAUGGGCGAAAGCCUGAUCCAGCCAUGCCGCGUGUGUGAAGAAGGUCUUCGGAUUGUAAAGCACUUUAAGUUGGGAGGAAGGGCAGUAGAUUAAUACUCUGCAAUUUUGACGUUACCGACAGAAUAAGCACCCGGCUAAC